UACGGAGGGUGCAAGCGUUAUCCGGAAUCACUGGGUUUAAAGGGUGCGUAGGCGGCUUAGUAAGUCAGGAGUGAAAGCCUGCGGCUUAACCGUAGAAAUGCUUUUGAUACUGCUGAGCUUGAAUUAGGUUGAGGUUGGCGGAAUGUGACAUGUAGCGGUGAAAUGCAUAGAUAUGUCAUCGAACACCAAUGGCGAAGGCAGCUGACUAGACCUGAAUUGACGCUGAGGCACGAAAGCGUGGGGAGCGAACAGG
rnacentral:rRNA from 1 species